AUCAGCCACUGUGACAAACCAAGACAUGGAGACGUUAGACCUGGCACUGCUAAGUUUUCUCCGUUACACCAAGGACGGGAAAACGAUGAAGGGAGAUACCAAUGACACACCACCGUCAAUGUAUCUUCUCAGUCACUUAUGCAGCUACAGAGGGUGGGCGAUGGCCAAUGACAAGAAGAACGCGAAAGGAGCCCUUUGCAUUGGAGGAGUGGUCACACCAAUUCUCCUAUCGUGCGACGUCCCGCUGCGACCGGAUCCAAUCCAACCACGUUGGAUGGAUAUCGCCCAUCUCAAGCUUGCCCAUGUGAUCGAACAUAAGGUCUAUGACGGGAGGUACGCUUUCAAGUUUGAUCACCCGUCAACAGGCGAAGCAACUAUUCUUCUCGCAUUCAGUGAAAUGACAACCAUCACGGUGAGAGACAACAUCGACUUUUCGCCACCACAAGAAAUCCUCCAUGCUGUGAUUGGAGGAUCCGCGUCCCGGAAUGCUGAAGAAGUAGAAGGUCAGAGUGACAAUGAGGAGACCAAUUGGGAGAACUAUGACACGAGCCGCUACCACUUUGAAGAACACAAGCCCCCUUCACGAGAAAGCAAGAGUCUCGCUGAAGCACACCGGAAGCUCAGUCUAACCCAAAGGUGGUGCAAGUUUCAAGACAAGAUCAUCCAUAAGUGUGUCAAGGCCAUUGACAACAUGCAGAAGGCAAUCAGUUGCACCACAUCCACCAGUGCGAUCACCAGGGACAACCUGCCUGAAGACAUGCCAUCCAGGCGUCAUGACAUUGCCCCGCCAAGGCAAUCUGCUUAUCAACAGAGAGAACGCGCUGUCUCGCAAGAACCCGCACGACACUCGUCUCACGAGGUCAGGGAGCACAAGAGGCGGAAGAGCGCUAGGAUGGUUCGAUCAUCAAGCAAGGGUCGGAUAAUGUCGGGGCGGAGAACACGUCAGCGUCGUGCUGAACAACCUGCUGGGGUUGCGAUCGAGCACAAUGACGAGGAGAUGGCGGAGCCACAUCAAGAACCGGUCAUGCCUGCUGAGUACACUCAAGCAGAUAUGGAUGACUACAUCUCCAGGACAUUCUACUGAGGUAACACACCAAAACCCUUAGUAAAUACCGCUUUUGUUUUUGUUUCUGUGUUUAUCUUGAAUUCUUUCACAAAUUUUGAUUACACAAGGGACUGUGUAAUUUAAGUUUGGGGGAGGGUUCAAGACGUAUUUGACUUGUUUUUUGUGAAUAUCAUUUGAGUCUGCAUAUCAUCUAAGUCAUAGAAAAAAACAAAAAAAAUUU
rnacentral:sRNA from 1 species